AAGUUUGACCACGGCAGGCUGGAGGCUGGGGCAGAUCCAGGUCACCCUGGGGCUCAAAAAGCACACCGCCUGUGCCUGGCCAAGACCAGCAUCCAGUUCUUCCCCAAGGCCUGCUCCUCCCUUCUUGCUUCCUGUCCCCCAAGGGCGUCGCAGACCAGGAGCUGACUUGCCCCAGCCCGCUCGCUCGCUGGGGAAGGACGCACUCACGCCACAGCGGCCUCAGGGACUGAGGACCCGAACCGGAACCCUUCACACCAGAUGGCACAGACCACCGAAGGCUGAUCAGUCCACCCAAAGCCGAAAGAGCUCCCUCGCCAGGACCUCGGAGCUGGAACCUGCUCUGCCCACACCUGGUCUGUCUCCUAGGGAGAAGCAUCUGGAACUCCAUCGCAGCUGUGUGACUCUGAACCCUCCCCCAGCCUCUCUGAGCCGAAGCUGCUUCUAAAAGGGGGAGAUCCCAGUUCGAAGACUCCUGCAGAGCCUGCUGCCUUCUCUGCCACACCUCAGGGUGCCUGAGACACUCACCUCU